rnacentral:rRNA from 1 species
AACGAACGCUGGCGGCAGGCCUCAAACAUGCAAGUCUAGGGGGUGUAGCAAUACAUCACCGGCGGACGGGUGCGUAACACGUGGGAAUAUACCUUUUGGUUCGGAACAACGCAGGGAAACUUGCGCUAAUACCGAAUGUGCCCUUACGGGGAAAGAUUUAUCGCCAAAGGAUUAGCCCGCGUAGGAUUAGCUAGUUGGUGAGGUAAUGGCUCACCAAGGCUCCGAUCCUUAGCUGUUCUGAGAGGAAGAUCAGCCACACUGGGACUGAGACACGGCCCAGACUCCUACGGGAGGCAGCAGUUGGGAAUCUUGGACAAUGGGGGAAACCCUGAUCCAGCCAUGCCGCGUGAGUGAUGAAGGCCUUCGGGUUGUAAAAACUACUUUCGACGGGGACGGAUAAUAGACGGUACCCGUAGAAGAAGCUCCGGCUAACUUCGUGCCAGCAGCCGC